CCUACGGGAGGCUGCAGUGAGGAAUAUUGGUCAAUGGACGAGAGUCUGAACCAGCCAAGUAGCGUGAAGGAUGACUGCCCUAUGGGUUGUAAACUUCUUUUAUAUGGGAAUAAAAUGUUCCACGUGUGGGAUUUUGUAUGUACCAUAUGAAUAAGGAUCGGCUAACUCCGUGCCAGCAGCCGCGGUAAUACGGAGGAUCCGAGCGUUAUCCGGAUUUAUUGGGUUUAAAGGGAGCGUAGGUGGAUUGUUAAGUCAGUUGUGAAAGUUUGCGGCUCAACCAUAAAAUUGCAGUUGAAACUGGCAGUCUUGAGUACAGUAGAGGUGGGCGGAAUUCGUGGUGUAGCGGUGAAAUGCUUAGAUAUCACGAAGAACUCCGAUUGCGAAAGCAGUUCACUGGACUGCAACUGACACUGAGGCUCGAAAGUGUGGGUAUCAAACAGGAUUAGAUACCCCAGUAGUC
rnacentral:rRNA from 1 species